rnacentral:sRNA from 12 species
UGCCUAAGUUCUCAUAGAAUAUGGCAUAAAAACCUUUCACAGACAUUAAGCUCCUCGUCAGAGCAUCUGUGAAGGGUCAUAUCUCGAAAGGGGUAUGGGUAGCGAAAGCUAUC